GAAAUGCGAUAAGUAAUGUGAAUUGCAGAAUUCAGUGAAUCAUCGAAUCUUUGAACGCAUAUUGCGCUCCUUGGUAUUCCUUGGAGCAUGCCUGUUUGAGUAUCAUGAAAUCUUCAAAGUAAAUCUUUUGUUAACUCAAUUGGUUUCUACUUUGGUAUUGGAGGUCUUUGCAGCUUCACACCUGCUCCUCUUUGUUCAUUAGCUGGAUCUCAGUGUUAUGCUUGGUUCCACUCGGCGUGAUAAGUUAUCUAUCGCUGAGGACACUGUAAAAGGUGGCCAAGGUAAAUGCAGAUGAACCGCUUCUAAUAGUCCAUUGACUUGGACAAUACUUUUAUGAUCUGAUCUCAAAUCAGGUAGGACUACCCGCUGAACUUAAGC
rnacentral:misc_RNA from 1 species